rnacentral:ncRNA from 1 species
AUGAGCGCCUGUUCUUCCCAUUCCCUAAUUCGCCGCGCCCCACGCCGUCUGCCGUGCGGUGCGGUCGGCAUGGAUCCGGACUACGUGGAACGGGCACGUCGCGGGCGCUCCGAAAAAGCAGUCAGCCGCUGGUUCCGGUAGUCGGAACGGCGGCUUUUUUG